UACGUAGGGUGCGAGCGUUGUCCGGAAUUAUUGGGCGUAAAGAGCUUGUAGGCGGUCUGUCGCGUCUGCUGUGAAAAUCCGGGGCUCAACCCCGGACUUGCAGUGGGUACGGGCAGACUAGAGUGUGGUAGGGGAGACUGGAAUUCCUGGUGUAGCGGUGAAAUGCGUAGAUAUCAAGUGGAAACACCAGUGGCGAAGGCGAAUCCCUGGAAAAUACCUGACACUGAGGCACGAAGGCUAGGGGAGCAAACAGG
rnacentral:rRNA from 1 species